GAUGAACGCUGGCGGCGUGCUUAACACAUGCAAGUCGAGCGAGUGAGUUCUUCGGAACGAUCUAGCGGCGGACGGGUGAGUAACACGUGGGCAACCUGCCUCAUAGAGGGGAAUAGCCUCCCGAAAGGGAGAUUAAUACCGCAUAAAAUUAUCGAGUGGCAUCACAUGAUAAUCAAAGGAGUAAUCCGCUAUGAGAUGGGCCCGCGGCGCAUUAGCUAGUUGGUGAGGUAACGGCUCACCAAGGCGACGAUGCGUAGCCGACCUGAGAGGGUGAUCGGCCACAUUGGGACUGAGACACGGCCCAGACUCCUACGGGAGGCAGCAGUGGGGAAUAUUGCACAAUGGGGAAACCCUGAUGCAGCAACGCCACGUGAGUGAUGAAGGUCUUCGGAUUGUAAAGCUCUGUCUUUGGGGACGAUAAUGACGGUACCCAAGGAGGAAGCCACGGCUAACUACGUGCCAGCAGCCGCAGUAA
rnacentral:rRNA from 1 species